UAAAUGGCGGUUUAUUGUUUUGUUAAGGAAAAGCAGUUAACCGAAAGCUGUAUGUCUCAUCUGGUCAUGAUAAGUGCAGAUAAACAAGUGUAAUGCUCCCGAAGAAUGUUUGGGCCAAACAAUAUUUAAGAAACAAAUAGUUGAUAAAAAUGCAGAAAGAUAUGGCCAAUUCAUUGAAGGUGACGACAUGCAGGUGUGACUGUAUGCACGACUGUUACUGCUGCCUGGGUAUUAUGUGAGCAAGAAACACGUCUGGAUUAUAAUUUGGACACACAUGUACAGCUGUUUUGUGAAUAUGAUAAAUUAUGUAUGCUAUAUUUGCAUUUUUGAUG